AAUGAACGUUGGCGGCAUGGAUUAGGCAUGCAAGUCGCACGAGAAGCCAAUUAGCUUGCUAUGAGGCGGACAGUGGCGAAAGGGAGAGUAACGCGUAGUUAUGUGCCCUCGAGACCGGGAUAGCGUCGGGAAACUGGCAGUAAUACCGGAUAACAUCUACGGAUCAAAUGGUGUGAUUCCGCUCGAGGAUUGGACUGCGUACUAUUAGCUAGUUGGCGGGGUAAUGGCCCACCAAGGCUGCGAUGGUUACCGGGUGUGAGAGCAUGGCCCGGCUCACUGGGACUGAGACACUGCCCAGACACCUACGGGUGGCUGCAGUCGAGAAUCUUUGUCAAUGGGGGAAACCCUGAACAAGCGAUGCCGCGUGCGGGAUGAAGGCCCUCGGGUUGUAAACCGCUGUCAGUUGUUAGGAAAUGCUAGUGGGUUAUCCCAUUAGUUUGACCGAUCUUCAGAGGAAGGACGGGCUAAGUUCG
rnacentral:rRNA from 1 species